GCGAUAGAGAAUUCUAGGUUGAGAGUACGCGUUUAUACACAAACAAUUCAUAAGACAAUUAGCGAUAAAAAAAGUUUAUGUUGUUCACAGUGGCAAUACAUAAAACACUUAGUGAAUAAAAAGUGUAGGUUGUUCAUAGUGGAAAUUCAUAAGACAAAUAGUGAUAAAGAAGUCUAGGUUGUUCACAGUGACAAUUCAUGUGACAGUUAGUGAUAACACAGGCUAGGUUGUUCACAGGGGUUAUUUACUUCGUACUUUAUUUGGCUUUUUUAAAAACUUUUUUGGAUUCGAGCGUCACCGAUGAGUCUUUUGUUGACGAAACGCGCGUCUGUCGUAUAUAUAAAAUUUAGUCCUGGUAUCUAUGAUGAGUUUAUUUAUAUGACAGUUAGUUAUGAAUAAGUCUAGGUUGUUUUUUUAGUAGCAAUUCAUAAGGGAGCUACCAUUUGAUUUUUAUGGGGGGGCUAGGAUGAAAAAUUUUGUCCUGCUUUUUUUUUUUAAUUGUAAUCUCUGUCCUGCCUUUUUAUUUUUUACUCUAUUGGGUCCUGCCUUUUUUUUUACUAGUUUAUCCUGACUUUUUUUACACAAAUUGUCAUCCUGCCUUUUUUUUUUACCAAGUUGCUCAUCCUGCCUUUUUUUUUUUCAAAACUCCUGUCCUGCCUAUUUUUUUCAAAUUUCAUCCUAGCCCCCCCAUAAAAAUCAAAUGGUAGCUCCCUAAGACAGAAAAAAAGUCAAAGUUGUGCACUGUGUCAAACGUAGACUGUUAGUAGUAAAGAAGUCUGGUUGUUUACAGUGACAAAACAUAAGACAUUUAGUGAUUUAGAAGUCUAGAUUGCUCACAUUGACAAUUCAUCAGGCAGUCAGUGAUUAAAAAGUCUAGAUUG
rnacentral:lncRNA from 1 species